rnacentral:rRNA from 1 species
UGCACCUGGUGGCGAGUGGCGAACGGGUGAGUAAUAUAUCGGAACGUACCUUAUUGUGGGGGAUAACGCAGCGAAAGCUGUGCUAAUACCGCAUAAUCCCUAAGGGGGAAAGCGGGGGACCGUAAGGCCUCGCGCAAUUAGAGCGGCCGAUACCUGAUUAGCUAGUUGGUGAGGUAAAGGCUCACCAAGGCAACGAUCAGUAGCUGGUCUGAGAGGACGAUCAGCCACACUGGGACUGAGACACGGCCCAGACUCCUACGGGAGGCGGCAGUGGGGAAUUUUGGACAAUGGGGGCAACCCUGAUCCAGCAAUGCCGCGUGAGUGAAGAAGGCCUUCGGGUUGUAAAGCUCUUCUGUCAGGGAAGAAACAGCAGCUCUAACACAGUCUGCGAAUGACGGUACCUGAAGAAUAAGCACCGGCUAACUACGCGCCAGCAGCCGCGGUAAUACGUAGGGUGCAAGCGUUAAUCGGAAUUACUGGGCGUAAAGCGUGCGCAGGCGGUUAUGUAAGACAGGCGUGAAAUCCCCGGGCUUAACCUGGGAAUUGCGCUUGUGACUGCAUAGCUAGAGUAUGUCAGAGGGGGGUAGAAUUCCACGUGUAGCAGUGAAAUGCGUAGAGAUGUGGAGGAAUACCAAUGGCGAAGGCAGCCCCCUGGGAUAAUACUGACGCUCAUGCACGAAAGCGUGGGGAGCAAACAGGA